rnacentral:rRNA from 1 species
CGAAAGCCUGACGGAGCAAGACCGCGUGAGGGAGGAAGGCUCUUGGGUUGUAAACCUCUUUUCUCAGGGAAGAAGCACUGACGGUACCUGAGGAAUCAGCAUCGGCUAACUCCGUGCCAGCAGCCGCGGUAAUACGGAGGAUGCAAGCGUUAUCCGGAUUUAUUGGGCGUAAAGCGUCCGCAGGUGGUAGUUCAAGUCGAUUGUCAAAGGCAGUAGCUUAACUACUGAGAGGCAGUGGAAACUGAAAGACUAGAGUGCGGUAGGGGUAGAGGGAAUUCCCGGUGUAGCGGUGAAAUGCGUAGAGAUCGGGAAGAACACCAGUGGCGAAAGCGCUCUGCUGGACCGGCACUGACACUGAGGGACGAAAGCUAGGGGAGCA